UGCCAGCAGCCGCGGUAAGACGAACCGUCCAAGCGUUGUUCGGAAUCACUGGGCAUAAAGCGCACGUAGGCGGCCUAUCAAGUCAGAUGUGAAAGCCCCCGGCCCAACCGGGGAACUGCAUCUGAAACUGGUAGGCUCGAGGAUGGCAGGGGUGAGUGGAACUCCAGGUGGAACGGUGAAAUGUGUAGAUAUCUGGAGGAACACCGGUGGCGAAAGCGGCUCACUGGGCCAUCACUGACGCUGAGGUGCGAAAGCGUGGGUAGCAAACAGGAUUAGAUA
rnacentral:rRNA from 1 species